rnacentral:rRNA from 1 species
UGGGGAAUAUUGCACAAUGGAGGGAACUCUGAUGCAGCGACGCCGCGUGAGUGAUGAAGGACUUCGUUUCGUAAAACUCUGUUCUAUGGGAAGAAAAGGACUGUACUAUAGGAGAAAGCUCCGGCUAAAUACGUGCCAGCAGCCGCGGUAAUACGUAUGGAGCGAGCGUUGUCCGGAAUUAUUGGGCGUAAAGGGUGCGCAGGCGGCUUUACAAGUUGGAUGUGAAAUAUUGUGGCUCAACCACAAACGUGCAUCCAAAACUGCAAAGCUUGAGUUAAGGAGAGGUAAGUGGAAUUCCUGGUGUAGCGGUGGAAUGCGUAGAUAUCAGGAGGAAUACCGGUGGCGAAGGCGACUUACUGGACUUAAACUGACGCUCAGGCACGAAAGCGUGGGGAGCAAACAGG